rnacentral:lncRNA from 1 species
CUGUAAUCCCAGCACUUUGGGAGGCUAAGGCAGGUGGAUCAUGAGGUUGGGAGUUUGAGACCAGCCUGACCAACAUGGAGAAACCCUGUCUCUACCAAAAAUACAAAAUUAGCCGGGCAUGGUGGUGCAUGCCUGUAAUCCCAGCUACUCUGGAGGCUGAGGUAGGAGAGUGGCUUUAACCCGGGAGGUGGAGGAGGUUGCUGUGAGCUGAGAUUGCACCACUGCAUUCUAGCCUGGGCAACAGAGCAAGACUCCAUCUCAAAAAAAUAAAUAAAUAAAAAAUAAAAAACAAAAAAUAAAAAAAUAAGAAUUAGGAAGACCAAUUUAAUAAUAAGGUAAGUUACAAAGAAAAUUUGUAGGCCGGGCGCGGUUGCUCAAGCCUGUAUCCCAGGACUUUUGGAGGCUGAGGUGGGCAGAUCAUGAGGUCAGGAGAUCCAUACCAUCCUGUCUAACAUGGUGAAAAACAGUCUCUACUAAAAACACAAAAAAUUAGCCAGGUGUGGUGGUGGGUGCCUGUAGUCCCAGCUAAUCGGGAGGCUGAGGCAGGAGAAUGGCAUGA